AAAAUAGGGACUUCGCUAGCGUCGGCCAAGGUUGACCCACGUGCGGUGUAUAUUUCGAGUGUUUUUUUAGUGAAAACUUACACCGAUCAACCUCUAAAAGUGUGUCUUCCUUACCCACGCGACAUUGGCGAAGUAAAUUGUACCCAGUUGGUACAGCAGCAAGCCAUAAAAUCAAAAAUUGAAUUGAA